rnacentral:rRNA from 1 species
AACAAACGCUGGCGGCGUGCCUAAUACAUGCAAGUCGAACGGGGAAAGCUUUCGGGUGAGUACUAGUGGCGCACGGGUGAGGAACGCGUGGUUAAUCUGCCUUAGAGUGGGGGAUAACUAGUCGAAAGAUUAGCUAAUACCGCAUAAGACCACUGGAGCUGCGGCUCAAGGGGUCAAAGGUUUUUCGCUCUAAGAUGAGUCCGCGUAAGAUUAGCUAGUUAGUGAGGUAACGGCUCACCAAGGCGACGAUCUUUAACUGGUCUGAGAGGAUGAUCAGUCACACUGGAACUGAGACACGGUCCAGACUCCUACGGGAGGCAGCAGUAGGGAAUAUUGCACAAUGGAGGAAACUCUGAUGCAGCGACGCCGCGUGAGUGAUGAAGGCCUUCGGGUCGUAAAGCUCUGUCGCAGGGGAAUAACACAAUGAAUGUACCCUGUAAGAAAGGAUCGGCUAACUUCGUGCCAGCAGCCGCGGUAACAC